rnacentral:lncRNA from 1 species
UCAUUGAACCAACCUACCACCCACCUCUGGGUUUUACCGAAUGACUUGCCCGUUUAACGAAUCUAUCAGUUAAACAACUGCAAGUGACUGAAGCUUCGAGAUUAAAUUAUGUGCAACAACAUCAAUGAACUCUUCUGUGUUGAGAUAGAACUCCCUUGAUACUCUGCAUUAACCAAAACUUCCAUGUAAGAAUCAAUAAUAUAGACAUUAUCUAGGACUAACAAAAUAACUGCGAUUGGUCAUUUGAUAUAUGGAGGCUUGGAGCUAGUCGUCGGAAUUGCAUUGUUGAACAUUAAUUAACCAAUAGGAUUGACCAUGAAAACUGGAACCGUCCCUUCUUGGUCCAGUCACGAGGAACAGGUCUGAAAAAAUUCAAAAUAGGAAAAGCUAUAUAAAGCAAGUCAUUCAAACUCGUCUCGUCGCAUAAGUUCUAAUAUUAAAUAAAGCUAUAGCAAGCCUUUAAUUUUUCCUUUCACGUUUCAUCUUAUCUUUCUUCUCAAAACCACGUCUGAUGUCAUAGGCCCAGAACCAAGGAACCAGCAAC